GUUCCAGACUCCUACGGGAGGCAGCAGUGGGGGAUAUUGCACAAUGGGGGGAACCCUGAUGCAGCGACGCCGCGUGGGUGAGGAAGUACCCCGGUAUGUAAAGCCCUUUCGGCAGGGAAGAAAAUGACGGUACCUGGCGAAGAAGCCCCGGCUAACUACGUGCCAGCAGCCGCGGUAAUACGUAGGGGGCAAGCGUUAUCCGGAUUCACUGGGUGUAAAGGGAGCGUAGACGGCCAUGCAAGCCUGGAGUGAAAGCCCGGGGCCCAACCCCGGGACUGCUCUGGGAACUGUGCGGCUGGAGUGCGGGAGGGGCAGGCGGAAUUCCUGGUGUAGCGGUGAAAUGCGUAGAUAUCAGGAGGAACACCGGCGGCGAAGGCGGCCUGCUGGACCGCGACUGACGUUGAGGCUCGAAAGCGUGGGGAGCAAACAGGAUUAGAUACCCUCGUA
rnacentral:rRNA from 1 species